GACUAGUGACCACUGACUAGCCGAUAUCAUGCUGCACGUCGCAUUCGGUUCUUUAUUUAUCGUUCACUGUUUUAUUUUUCACUACCUUGAUACGGUUUAACACCUGCACAGCCGAAAGAAUACAUACGUAUACGGUUCUAAUUGCUAAGAGGUACAUGCUGCAGAAUGAGCAGCAGAAUCAAUCGCAAAAUAACACCUAAAUUGCAUCAGCCCCGAAAGCGAUUUCUACGGGUUGCAUCUCGUAAACAACCUAGUUUGAUAUCUCGUGAACAACAGGUUGUGUUGAUAGCGUAUUGUGCUCCACAUGGCGAUGUGACUCAUCAUGGGCACAGCACAACACCAUUUUGACCCACGCGUGUGACAAUUCACGUCAUAACGGUCUAGUGCAACAUUAACCAGUUCCUAAUUAAUUUUCUUAUUCAGAUACCAUGAUUCAGAGCGAGGGAGAUUCGAUUAUUUGUAAGACAGCCGAGUAAGGUUGCAAAAUGUAAUGUGUAGGUUUCGCGAUUGGAGGACCUAUAACAGGCGUGGCAGAGCCACGUUGGACAGACGGUACACACAUCUGUUAAUGGUGCGUUUUAAACGACUACAGUCGCGACGUAGCUAUAUAAAGGGAAGAUCUCAGUUUCAUUCGACACGUCAACUGUUACCUGUUUUUCGUGGCAAUAUUUUGCAUUCUUAUUGAGUUUCCGGUUUUCCUUGAAAACAGCAUUAUUUGGGUAACUUUCUACCAGGUAUACUGGUCGUAUACCCGUUUAAAGGUUAACAACUGCAGCCAUGCUGCAUCAUCAGGAGCUAGUGUUCGGGAUCGUCUUCUUCCUGAUUCUUUUGCAACCGACUGGGGAUACGGGACUGGAGAUCGGUCGUCCUCCAGGAAACUCCGUUGCGCACCUGACAACCAUCAAUGCCACACACGGGUCUGCAAACGCUACUGCUGAGCGUGAGAUCCCCCUUCCCAGAUGCAGCGCUCGGGAGGCACAUUUCGCUGUAAAACCUUAUUGUACCGUCAGUGACUUUCACGGUGCUCUGUAGCGAUAGAUGCUAAAGAUUUAUGAAAUGCGCUUAACCGAUUCAAGUCCGAUUGUGAUUCACAAUAAUGUUGCCGGCACGGACUUAUAAUAUUAGUACCGGGCACAAUACGGUGCGGUAUACACGUAUACGCUAUAUGCGAUAUUUAUGGUGGUAUCUGUACAGUCGUCAUAAAAUUAAUAUAAUACUGGACUCAAAUAAACAAAUUGUGCCUAACCGAGAAAAGAAAUGUCAUGAUCACUGGGGAAAUUAAAAUAAAUUAU